CAUAUCUCCAUGCUUCAGAUAUUAUCCACUGUGAUGUGCAAACGAACAACAUUCUUCUAGACAACAAGUUUUGCGUUAAAGUUACAAAUUUUGGAUUGUCUCGUCUCUUUCCAGUUGAUGUGACCCAUGCUUCAACUGCUCCACUAGGAACCCCAGGUUAUGUUGAUCCAGAGUAUCACGAAUGCUAUCAGCUGACAGAUAAGAGUGAUGGGGUGGUCUUGAUUGAGCUUAUAUCAUCAAUGCCUGCUGUUGAUUUCACUAGGCAUCCUCGUGAGAUUAUUUUGUCUAACAUGGCAAUCAAUAAGAUCC
rnacentral:misc_RNA from 1 species